rnacentral:rRNA from 1 species
AUAAUACGCCCUUUAAUUGGGGGCUAGAAUGAAUGGAUAAACGAAGGUUAAGCUGUCUCUUCUAUACAAUUAUAAAUUUACCCUCAGGUGAAAAGGCCUGAAAUCUAUUAAAAGACAAAAAGACCCCGUAGAGCUUUAUUAUUAAAAAGUACAAAAAAUAUACCCUAUAUUUCUUUCUACGCAGCACAUAAUUUUACUGGGGCGGUAUAAGAGCAAAUAACCCUCUUAUUUAAUACAAGGGAACCACCCGCACUCUGAUCCUAUAUAGAUUAAAGAAACAAGCUACCUCGGGGAUAACAGGCUUAUUUCUUUUAAGAGUACUUAUCGAAAAAGAAGU